rnacentral:piRNA from 1 species
GUGGUAAGAGCAUCAAAGCCUAAUUGGGC